UUCCGGUUGAUCCCGCCGGACCUGACUGCUAUCGGAUUGAUACUAAGCCAUGCGAGUCAUUGUAGCAAUACAAGGCAGACGGCUCAGUAACGCGUAGUCAACCUAACCUAUGGACGAGAAUAACCUCGGGAAACUGAGAAUAAUGCUCGAUAGAACACUAUACCUGGAAUGGUUUGUGUUCCAAAUGAUUUAUCGCCGUAGGAUGGGACUGCGGCCUAUCAGUUUGUUGGUGAGGUAAUGGCCCACCAAGACUAUUACAGGUACGGGCUCUGAGAGGAGUAGCCCGGAGAUGGGUACUGAGACACGGACCCAGGCCCUAUGGGGCGCAGCAGGCGAGAAAACUUUGCAAUGUGCGAAAGCACGACAAGGUUAAUCCGAGUGAUUUGUGCUAAACGAAUCUUUUGUUAGUCCUAGAACCACUAACGAAUAAGGGGUGGGCAAGUUCUGGUGUCAGCCGCCGCGGUAAAACCAGCACCUCAAGUGGUCAGGAUGAUUAUUGGGCCUAAAGCAUCCGUAGCCGGCUCUGUAAGUUUUCGGUUAAAUCUGUACGCUUAACGUACAGGCUGCCGGGAAUACUGCAGAGCUAGGGAGUGGGAGAGGUAGACGGUACUCGGUAGGAAGGGGUAAAAUCCUUUGAUCUAUUGAUGAC
rnacentral:rRNA from 1 species